rnacentral:rRNA from 1 species
CGCGAAACUAAGGUGAGCUAAGUAAAUAUAAUUAUUAGAUUAUUCUAUGUAACAUAAUAUACAUAAAUAUUUACUUAGGGGUGACAGGUCUAUCAAAUCUAGAGAUAUCUCGAUACUUAAGAGAAACAUUGAGUGUUUAAACAAUAGUACAGUGAUUAGGCUGUAUUAAAACAUUAAUACGUGUAAUUUUUCGUAUUCUGAUUUAAUUAUUAAAUACUCGUUGUAUAUAACAUUUAUAUGCAAUUGCUUAUGGAACAUAUUAAGUCGUGAAACAAUUUAGCAUUGCAUUGAUAAUGUACCUAUUAGUAGUGUUAAAUUUAUGUAAAAUGAACUCGGCAACAUACCUUUCAACUGUUUACCAAAAACAUAAUUACGAGUAAUUAUUCGUAAUGGUUUCUGCUCAAUGCAAAAUUAAAUAGCCGCAGUACCCUGACUGUGCAAAGGUAGCGUAAUAAUUUGGCUUAUAAUUGAAGUCCUGUAUGAAUGAAUGCAUGAGGGGUAACUUUCUCUUACAUAGCAAGUGAACUUAUUUUUAAAGUGCAAAAUCUUUAAAGGAAAUGAUAGACGAGAAGACCCUAGAAAUUUUUAAUAUAUUGCGAGACGUCUUUUUUGUUGGGGCAACAGAGUAACAGAUAAUUUACUUUAUAUAACACGACUCUAUUGUGAAAGAUAAAAUUACUCUAGGGAUAACAGCGUAAUUUACAAAAGUUUGCGACCUCGAUGUUGGACUAGGAAACAAUUGUUCAGAA